rnacentral:rRNA from 1 species
CACGUAGGCGGUUUAAUAAGUCAGUGGUGAAAGCCCAUCGCUCAACGGUGGAACGGCCAUUGAUACUGUUAGACUUGAAUUAUUAGGAAGUAACUAGAAUAUGUAGUGUAGCGGUGAAAUGCUUAGAGAUUACAUGGAAUACCAAUUGCGAAGGCAGGUUACUACUAAUGGAUUGACGCUGAUGGACGAAAGCGUGGGUAGCGAACA